rnacentral:rRNA from 1 species
GAAUUGUUCGCAAUGGGCGCAAGCCUGACGACGCAACGCCGCGUGGAGGAUGAAGACUUUCGGGCCGUAAACUCCUUUCGACCGAGAUGAAUUCCCCUCGACCUAACACGUCGAGGGGGUGACAGUAUCGAGGGAAGAAGCCCCGGCUAACUCCGUGCCAGCAGCCGCGGUAAUACGGGGGGGGCAAGCGUUGUUCGGAAUUACUGGGCGUAAAGGGUUCGUAGGUGGCCUGCUAAGUCACACGUGAAAUCCCUCAGCUUAACUGGGGAACUGCGUGUGAGACUGGCGGGCUCGAGUGCAGGAGAGGAACGCGGAAUUCCAGGUGUAGCGGUGAAAUGCGUAGAUAUCUGGAGGAACACCGGUGGCGAAGGCGGCGUUCUGGACUGCAACUGACACUGAUGAACGAAAGCCAGGGGAGCAAACGGG